AGGAAUGGAAAAUGACUUUAUUUCUUCUUCUUAAAAAAAAAAAAAGUAAAAUAAAAGCCCAUAAUUGAAUUAUAUUCUGAAACAUUUGUUUAGUAUUAUUUCCAUGCUUAAUAAAAUCAUUAUAUUUCUGCAUAAAUAAAUAAACAUUUACAAAGAGGGGGAAGAACGAGAAGAAUCAGAGACGAAGGUGUCAUUCUCUGAAUCAUUGACGACCAAUCAAUCGAUCAACAACUGAUCAAAUGGACAAUUCAUUGAUGGCCUGUAGACAUGCAGCCAAUCGUCUUCCUUCCUUCUCCAUACAUGAAAUCCCCCAUUGGGUAUUAUAUCAUAUUAUAUUUAUAUACCGCAUAAUGUAAUUAUCUCUCAGGUUCAGAAAAAUUUAACAAAAUAACAUAGCAGAUGUGUGUGUGUGUGUGUGUUUGUGGAUGCAGCCCAAAUGACAAUCUCUUCCCUACUGUACGUAGUUCACUAAGUAAUGCACUCUGUAGGGGACAGGCUGUCAUUUAGGAUGUAUAUUAUGUGUGUGUUUGUAUGUACAUAGUAAAUCACCAGGCAGCAGUCAGAAGAGUAGUUAUCCCAAAAAAAAUUACAUUUAGAAAAAAAUUCAUGUGCACAGGAAAAUCUUUGAACGAACACACCGACUGGAAAUGAGGGAAGUUAUGUUGUUUGUUUUGUUUUUAACAAAUAAAACAAAUACAUUUCAGGGAUUUAUCCAAAUGUAUCCAAUCAUAACCCCAAAAGCCUCCCCCAUUCCUUUGUGCGUUUCAGAUUGACUGACACGUAUCGGUCUCGUAUGAAAAGGAUCACACACAGAGGCUGCUCACUUACAGAUAGUAUCAAAAAGACCCAUUUCAAUAGGAGUCAAAGUAACAUGGCAUCUUUGGAAAAGUGGAUCAGGCUACACCCUUCAGACCAAUGCAUUUUGAGAAGACAGGAAUCAAGGAAAGACAAUUGAGAUUGGAUAGGUCUGUUUAGGUUAGGGGUACCGGUUCUUGUAGCAGGUUAGGUUAGGGGUACCGGUUCUUGUAGCAGGUUAGGUUAGGGGUACCGGUUCUUGUAGCAGGUUAGGUUAGGGGUACCAGUUCUUGUAGCAGGUUAGGUUAAGAGUGCCUUUUCAACACGGACACUUGAGCGAGUUGACAGGGUAGAUCAGAUCAUGCUUUUAACUAGCCUGGAAUCCAAGCUAAUAUGCUUACAGUCUUGUUUCACCAGUCUAGCUUUUAAGGUGUAGCGAGGACAACAAGACAUCAUGACCAUGUAUUCAUUGAGGAGAGAAGACUCUCCACGCUGUCACUCUCUCUGCCCUUCCACCACUUUGAAACCAGCUCAAAUUUACACAAAACACCUCCAUUUACAGGCAGGACUUAUUUUAUUAAUUGUUUUUCUGCAUGGAAUCCCAAAAAUAAUAAGUAAAGACAAACUGGAGAACACAAGAUGUGAUCAAUUCAGGAGAAAGGAGAGAAAAAAAUGUUUUGGGAGAUUUCACUUUUUUUUUUAUUUUUAUGGCAAACAAAAAGUUGUAUUCCAAAUGGCACCAGUUUCCCUAUAUAGUGCACUACUUUUGACCAGAGCCCUGUUCCCUAUAUAGUGCACUACUUUAGACCAGAGCCCUAUGGCUUAGGGUUGGUCCUAGAACUGCUACCCAGAGCUCCAUGCCCACCAGAUUCAGGGACUGUAUGAAUCCGGGGAGUCCAGAGAAGGGCAUCUGUUUUGGGCCACAAAGAUUGAGGAUAGCCCUUAACUUCCAAACCACCACUCAACAACCCCCCUUACAUAGGUGCUGCUAUAGCAAGGCUAUCCUUUAGACAAAGACACAUUUCAGAAAGACUACAGGCCUCAUCUUUCAUAAGGAUUAUAUAUCACCCUUAGCCAGCCGAUUGGCUAUCGAUGCAUAUAUAUUCCAAUCCAAGACAGUUUUAAAGUUUCCAGGAUUGAUGGACACUGUGGAGUGGGGACAUGCCCACUCACAGCAGAAGCAGUGAAGGCCAAUGACAGAGCCCAGAGAAACAGGAAGUUAGAUGGGGAUUCUAAAGCCGUAUCUAAAGGAGAACGAAGAAGAGACAGCACCUUGGGGGUAAUUCUAGAGCUGGGUCUACCUGACAGUAUACAAGGAGGGGGAUAUUUUAUAACUAUAAUCUACCCGGCACUGGAUGAGACCAGAGGAAGAAUCUAGAGCUGUACGUACUAGACAGGCAUUGGAGAGACCAGAGGAAGAAUCUAGAGCUGUACAUACUAGACAGGCAUUGAGAGACCAGAGGAAGAAUCUAGAGCUGUACAUACUAGACAGGCAUUGGAGAGACCAGAGGAAGAGAGUAACAGAGUUUCAUAAAAGGUGUUAUGUUAAUAUACAUCAUUAUCAUUUAGGUUUAUGACAUCUAAGCAGGUGUCUGGAGAGGUUGGACUUGCGAGCAAAGCUGAGAAAGCAGUACAUACUAGACAGGCAUUGGAGACCAGAGGAAGAAUCUAGAGCUGUAUGUACAUCAGGUAGCAUAGUCAUCAUAGACUUCAGCGCCAAGAUAUUAGCCUGGUCCCAGGUCUGUUUGUGCUUUUGCCUACUCUACUGUCAGCAUUUAGCAUGACAAUUACAUAAGAAGUUGGCAAGAGAGCACAGACCUGCUACCAAGAUCCAGGAAACAGACCUGCUACCAAGAUCCAGGAAACAGACCUGCUACCAAGAUCCAGGAAACAGACCUGCUACCAAGAUCCAGGAAACAGACCUGCUACCAAGAUCCAGGAAACAGACCUGCUACCAAGAUCCAGGAAACAGACCUGCUACCAAGAUCCAGGAAACAGAGCGAAAACAGCCCUGGGUGAGCAACACAUGAGCAGGAAAACACACCAAUGCGUUUUAUACAAGGGAAUUACGACAGUGGAAAUUGUGGCCAUUUGUCCAAAAGAUGUUAACCCCACACCUAUUUCACCUGAGCCCCAAUAGUUACACUGACAUCCUUUCAUAAAGCAAUCUGGGAACUAGAGUGUUAUCAAACCAGUAGUGGCUUGUCCAUUUUACACUCCAUGUGUCCCAAAAAGUAUUUAACAAUAAAGUAACCCUUGGCAAUAAGGUUCAGAAUGUGAACCAGUAACAACCUGGACACAGACUGUUCAGAACACCGUGAAACACCGUGAAACACCGUGAAACACCAUUAUGGGAGUUGUCUUACACUCAACAAGACAUCAUCCCUUGACACCAGAAGUUACUUGGACAUCCUUUCAUAUGACAUCUUGAAAUUUGGGAGGAAAAUUGACAGAGCAUUGCUUUAGAACAAUACAUAACGAGUAAUGACAUUAUGAUUAAAAAAAUAUAUAAAAAUAAAAAUUGACAUUAUUACCACCAGAAUUAUCCCAGAAAAAUCUAACAUUGUUCAGUAUGUGUUUCUGCAUGUGUAUGUGUGUGUAACGUGCUACAUGCAUGUGUGUACAUCUGUAUGUACACGUUAUUGCAUGCCUGUGUGUGUGUGUGUGUGUGUGUGUGUGUGUGUGUGUGUGUGUAAGCAUGAAUCCGUCAAAAUUCGAGGGCACAGCAGGAUGAGGAAACUGUUUUUACAAGAUACAGACGCAGUAGAGAGGAGGGGAUAGAAACAUUUUACAUCAGGAAUGUUCCCAAAUGGCAACCUAUUCUCUAAAUACUGUAGGCCCCUACUUUUAACCAGGGCCCUUAGGGCAGUAGUGCACUUUUAACCAGGGCCCUUAGGGCAGUAGUGCACUUGAUAGGGAACAGGGUGCCAUUUCAGAUGCGCUCAACAGUUCUCUAGCUCUCUCCAUGGACAGACAACAAUACAUAAGAAGCAGCCGAGAGUUGGGAGGAUGGUGAGGGUAGAGGGGUGUCCUUAAUGUUUUCUAUGCAGUCUGAUUGAUGGAUGAUGGUGAGGGUAGAGGGGUGUCCUUAAUGUUUUCUAUCCAGUCUGAUGGUAGAAUGAUGGUGAGGGUAGAGGGGUGUCCUUAAUGUUUUCUAUCCAGUCUGAUGGU
ensembl:lncRNA